rnacentral:tRNA from 1 species
AACUUAUAGUUCUUUUAGUGAAUUUUCCACUUACACUGGAAAGGGUUUUGUGCAAUUCAAAAUUGGUUGAU